rnacentral:rRNA from 1 species
UACGGAGGGUGCAAACGUUGCUCGGAAUCAUUGGGCGUAAAGCGCACGUAGGCGGUUUGUUAAGUCGGAUGUGAAAGCCCCGGGCUCAACCCGGGAAGUGCAUACGAAACUGGGCAAGCUUGAAUAUGGAAGAGGGUCGCGGAAUUCCCGGUGUAGAGGUGAAAUUCGUAGAUAUCGGGAGGAACAUCAGUGGCGAAGGCGGCGACCUG